rnacentral:rRNA from 1 species
CAGUCGCCGCGGUAAUGCGUAGGGCGCAAGCGUUAUCCGGAAUUAUUGGGCGUAAAGAGCUCGUAGGCGGUUUGUCGCGUCUGCCGUGAAAGUCCGGGGCUCAACCCCGGAUCUGCGGUGGGUACGGGCAGACUAGAGUGAUGUAGGGGAGACUGGAAUUCCUGGUGUAGCGGUGAAAUGCGCAGAUAUCAGGAGGAACACCGAUGGCGAAGGCAGGUCUCUGGGCAUUAACUGACGCUGAGGAGCGAAAGCAUGGGGAGCGAACAGGAUUAGAUACCCCUGUAGUCCCUGUCUCUUAUAC